rnacentral:rRNA from 1 species
CGGUGGAUGAUGUGGAUUAAUUUCGAUGCAACGCGAAGAACCUUACCAGGUCUUGACAUCCCGAUGCUAUUUCUAGAGAUAGAAAGUACUUCGGUACAUCGGUGACAGGUGGUGCAUGGUUGUCGUCAGCUCGUGUCGUGAGAUGUUGGGUUAAGUCCCGCAACGAGCGCAACCCCUAUUGUUAGUUGCCAUCAUUCAGUUGGGCACUCUAGCGAGACUGCCGGUAAUAAACCGGAGGAAGGUGGGAUGACGUCAAAUCAUCAUGCCCCUUAUGACCUGGGCUACACACGUGCUACAAUGGUUGGUACAACGAGUUGCGAGUCGGUGACGGCGAGCUAAUCUCUUAAAGCCAAUCUCAGUUCGGAUUGUAGGCUGCAACUCGCCUACAUGAAGUCGGAAUCGCUAGUAAUCGCGGAUCAGCACGCCGCGGUGAAUACGUUCCCGGGCCUU